rnacentral:misc_RNA from 1 species
CCAUCUGCUGGGCGACUCUGGG